rnacentral:tRNA from 1 species
GGAGCUGUGCCCGAGAUAAGGACUACUUUGAUAGAGUAGAUUACAGGGGUUAAAACCCCCUCGGCUCCU